UACGUAGGGGGCAAGCGUUGUCCGGAAUCAUUGGGCGUAAAGAGCGUGUAGGCGGCCCGAUAAGUCCGCUGUGAAAGUCCAGGGCUCAACCCUGGAAUGCCGGUGGAUACUGUCGGGCUCGAAUCCGGAAGAGGUGAGUGGAAUUCCUGGUGAAGCGGUGAAAUGCGCAGAUAUCAGGAGGAACACCAAUGGCGAAGGCAGCUCACUGGGACGGUAUUGACGCUGAGACGCGAAAGCGUGGGGAGCAAACAGG
rnacentral:rRNA from 1 species